CACAGCCUGUCCCUGGAGCCAGCUGACAGAGACCUCUGGAGCCCAGUGUUCCCAUAAAGUGUGGACCUGUCUGAGCUGUACUCCAGCCAUCUUCCCAAGUAUCAACAUAUGGCAAGAAGCAGAGGUGGUAUGCCCUUCAGGAAAGAUCAGGGUCCCCAGGGCCUGCAAUGAAGGACUCCAGCUGUGCUCCUUGUAGAGAUUGCACACAGGUCCCCAGCGACUCCAGCACCCCCUCUGAGGAGCCUGACUCUGGGGAAACAGAUGGUGACAAAGCCUGCCAGGACCAGAAGAAACUGCUGCUCACCAGGGGACCAGCUCCUUGUGACCUGCUGUGGGAGACAACCCUCACCCUAUCUUCUGGAGCCCAGCAUCCACCCUCCCUAGUGCUGGAAAUGUAGGUGGCUCCCUGCCGCCUAGUGCUGUCGUCACCACCCCAAAGAGUGAGGAUCCAGGGAGACCGUCUCCUGGCAGCAGAGCCUCUGCUGCCCUGCAUGGGUGUGUUUGAAGCUGCCACACCCACUGAGGGCUGACUAGACCCUAUGAGUAGGUUUAGAGAUUCAGUUCUGUCAGAGGCAUUGCAUCCCCCUGGGAAGUGGGGGCAGAUGAGGCAGUCAUCCUUGCUGCUGUGGCUCCUGCUUUUUGGUGAGAGAGGGCACCUGCCACAGGUGCAGGGCAGGUGCCAGCUGCUAAGGACAACAUCCCUCAGCGGGGUUUCUAAACACUUUGGCCACCAGCAGGGUCAGAACACCUGGGGGAGUUGCACCUUUGACAUGACCACUGAGAAGGAAAUUGUUCAGCGUUUUCUCGUGUGGGUGAAAGUGGCGGGCUCCGCCCAAGACACUGCUCUGUCCAUUCAUGCGCACAAGCUCCUUCUUGGCUAGCCUCAGUGGGCAGGAUAUGGAAUGUAAGAUUAAUGCUCAAACCUUCAUGGGAGCUAUUGCUACGCAGGUGCAGGUGCAGCCUCUGCCCCAAACCGUCCUUGCCUUGAGAGGGUCUCCACAUGCCAUUUCUACCUCUAGAAAAUUUCAUGGAGCCAAAAGCACAUUUGAAACUUUGUCUCACAUUAUGAACUAACCUGUAC